rnacentral:rRNA from 1 species
GGGGGGGCAAGCGUUGUUCGGAAUUACUGGGCGUAAAGGGCGUGUAGGCGGUCCCGCAAGUCUUUCGUGAAAUCCCACAGCUCAACUGUGGAAUUGCGAGGGAAACUGCAGGACUUGAGUUCGGGAGAGGAGAGUGGAAUUCCCAGUGUAGCGGUGAAAUGCGUAGAUAUUGGGAGGAACACCGGUGGCGAAGGCGGCUCUCUGGACCGACACUGACGCUGAGGCGCGAAAGCUAGGGGAGCAAACGGGGAUUAGAUACCCCGGUAGUCCUAGCCCUAAACGAUGAGCACUUGGUGUGGCGGGUAUCGACCCCUGCCGUGCCCGAAGCUAACGCAUUAAGUGCUCCGCCUGGGGAGUACGGUCGCAAGGCUG